rnacentral:rRNA from 1 species
CCUACGGGAGGCAGCAGUAGGGAAUUUUGCGCAAUGGGCGAAAGCCUGACGCAGCAACGCCGCGUGAUCGAGACGCCCUUCGGGGUGUAAAGAUCUGUCAGUGGGGACGAAACUUGACGGUACCCCCAGAGGAAGCACCGGCUAACUCCGUGCCAGCAGCCGCGGGUAUACGGUGGGUGCAAGCGUUUUCCGGAAUCAUUGGGCGUAAAGGGUUCGUAGGCGGGACGUAAAGGCAGGUGUUAAAGGCAGGGGCUGAACCUCUGAACGGCACUUGAUACUUGCGGGCUAGAGUGAGGUAGAGGCAGGGGGAAUUCCUGGUGUAGCGGUGAAAUGCGUAGAUAUCGGGAGGAACAUCAGUGGCGAAGGCGGUUUACUGGGCCGUAACUGACGCUGAGGAACGAAAGCGAGGGUAGCAAAUGGGAUUAGAUACCCCUGUAGUC